AGGCCGCAUAGCAGGUGACCCCCUAAUGUGACAGGUUGUCAGGCAGCAUAGCGGGUGACCCCCUAAUGUGACAGGUUGUCAGGCCGCAUAGCAGGUGACCCCCUAAUGUGACAGGUUGUCAGCCCUCUCUGGUUGUCAGGCAGUAUAGCAGGUGACCCCCUAAUGUGACAGGUUGUCAGCCCUCUCUGGUUGUCAGGCCGCAUAGCAGGUGACCCCCUACUGUGACAGGUUGUCAGGCAGUAUAGCAGGUGACCCCCUAAUGUGACAGGUUGUCAGGCAGUAUAGCAGAUGACCCCCUAAUAAGACAGGUUGUCAGGAAGUAUAGCAGGUGACCCCCUACUGUGACAGGUUGUCAGGCAGUAUAGCAGGUGACCCCCUAAUGUGACAGGUUGUCAGCCCUCUCUGGUUGUCAGGCAGUAUAGCAGGUGACCCCCUACUGUGACAGGUUGUCAGGCAGUAUAGCAGGUGACCCCCUAAUGUGACAGGUUGUCAGGCAGUAUAGCAGGUG